GCCUUCAUAGCUCAGCGGUAGAGCACUCCCUUGGUAAGGGAGAGGUCACGAGUUCAAUUCUCGUUGAAGGCU
rfam:Leptolyngbya sp. Heron Island J, whole genome shotgun sequence.